rnacentral:rRNA from 1 species
ACGGCUCACCAAGGCGACGAUCGGUAGGUGGUCUGAGAGGACGAUCACCCAGACUGGGACUGAGACACGGCCCAGACUCCUACGGGAGGCAGCAGUCGGGAAUUUUGCUCAAUGGGGGAAACCCUGAAGCAGCAACGCCGCGUGCGGGAUGAAGGCCUUCGGGUUGUAAACCGCUUUUACCAGGGACGAUAAUGACGGUACCUGAUGAAUAAGUCACGGCUAACUACGUGCCAGCAGCCGCGGUAAUACGUAGGUGACUAGCGUUGUCCGGAUUUACUGGGCGUAAAGAGCGCGCAGGCGGUCGUUCAAGUCGAGUGUGAAAGCCCCCGGCUCAACUGGGGAGGGUCAUUCGAUACUGAUCGACUUGAAGGCAGGAGAGGGAAGCGGAAUUCCCGGUGUAGUGGUGAAAUGCGUAGAUAUCGGGAGGAACCAGUGGCGAAGGCGGCUUCCUGGCCUGUUCUUGACGCUGAGGCGCGAAAGCUAGGGGAGCAAACGGGAUUAGAUACCCCGGUAGUCCUAGCCGUAAACGAUGGACACUAGGUGUUGGUGGUAUCAACCCCACCAGUGCCGAAGCUAACGCAUUAAGUGUCCCGCCUGGGGAGUACGGCCGCAAGGCUAAAACUCAAAGGAAUUGACGGGGCCCCGCACAAGCAGCGGAGCGUGGGGUUUAAUUCGAUGCAACGCGAAGAACCUUACCAAGGCUUGACAUGACCAGGAAUCCGGCGGAAACGUCGGCGCCCCGCAAGGGGCCUGGCCACAGGUGUUGCAUGGCUGUCGUCAGCUCUCGUGAGAUGUUGGGUUAAGUCCCGCAACGAGCGCAACCCCUAUCGUGUGUUGUAUCACUCACACGAGACUGCCGAGAGAAACUCGGAGGAAGGCGGGGAUGACGUCAAGUCACCAUGGCCCUUACGUCUUGGGCUACACCCACGCUACAAUGGCCGGUACAACGGGCGGCGAAACCGCGAGGUGGAGCAAAUCCCUUAAAGCCGGUCUCAGUUCGGAUUGUAGGCUGCAACUCGCCUACAUGAAGCCGGAGUUGCUAGUAACCGCCGGUCAGCAUACGGCGGUGAAUAUGUUCCCGGGGCUUGUACACACCGCCCGUCACGUCAUGAAAGCUGGCAACACCCGAAGCCGGUGGGCCAACCCGCAAGGGAGGCAGCCGUCGAAGGUGGGGGCGGUGAUUGGGACGAAGUCGUAACAAGGUAGCCGUACCG